rnacentral:rRNA from 1 species
UACGGGGGGAGCAAGCGUUGUUCGGAUUUACUGGGCGUAAAGGGCGCGUAGGCGGCCACCGCAAGUCGACUGUGAAAUCUCCGGGCUUAACCCGGAAAGGUCAGCCGAUACUGCGGGCUAGAGUGCAGAAGGGGCAACUGGAAUCCUGGUGUAGCGGUGGAAUGCGCAGAUAUCAGGAGGAACACCGAUGGCGAAGGCAGAUCUCUGGGCCGUAACUGACGCUGAGGAGCGAAAGCGUGGGGAGCGAACAGG